GACGGCCCUACGGGUUGUAAACUUCUUUUGUAAGGGAAUAAAUAGUCUUACGCGCUAAGACGUUGCAGGUACCUUACGAAUAAGGAUCGGCUAACUCCGUGCCAGCAGCCGCGGUAAUACGGAGGAUCCGAGCGUUAUCCGGAUUUAUUGGGUUUAAAGGGUGCGCAGGCGGCAUGUUAAGUCGGCGGUGAAAUUUUGCAGCUCAACUGUAAAGGAGCCUUCGAAACUGGCAAGCUUGAGUGUGGAUGAAGUAGGCGGAAUUUGUGGUGUAGCGGUGAAAUGCAUAGAUAUCACAAAGAACACCGAUUGCGCAGGCAGCUUACUAAACCAUAACUGACGCUCAUGCACGAAGGCGUGGGGAUCAAACAGGAUUAGAUACCCUGGUAGUCCACGCAGUAAACGAUGAUUACUGGCUGUUUGCGAUACAAUGUAAGCGGCUGAGCGAAAGCGUUAAGUAAUCCACCUGGGGAGUACGUUCGCAAGAAUGAAACUCAAAGGAAUUGACGGG
rnacentral:rRNA from 1 species